rnacentral:rRNA from 1 species
GCUCAGAUUGAACGCUGGCGGCAGGCCUAACACAUGCAAGUCGAACGGUAACAGGAAACAGCUUGCUGUUUCGCUGACGAGUGGCGGACGGGUGAGUAAUGUCUGGGAAACUGCCUGAUGGAGGGGGAUAACUACUGGAAACGGUAGCUAAUACCGCAUAACGUCGCAAGACCAAAGAGGGGGACCUUCGGGCCUCUUGCCAUCGGAUGUGCCCAGAUGGGAUUAGCUAGUAGGUGGGGUAACGGCUCACCUAGGCGACGAUCCCUAGCUGGUCUGAGAGGAUGACCAGCCACACUGGAACUGAGACACGGUCCAGACUCCUACGGGAGGCAGCAGUA